UUACUUAUAGUAUAAUAACUAAUACAUUAGCCUUUCAAGCUAAAACUGUGAUACUAUCACUAAGUACU
rnacentral:tRNA from 1 species